AUAAAGAAGCUGAGAAAAAGAAAGACAAACAACUACUGGACCACAAGGGAAAAAGUCAAGAGAAAAGUGAUACCAUACAAUGAGACGAUAUUAGAAUAAUUGAGAUCACAGCAGAAACACGG